AGAAGUGUGAAAAUCCGUAGACAUGUUAAUACGCAACGGGUGUAUUUCACGCUUAUACUCUACAUCAACAGGUACCUUACAUUUUAUCUCCAGUUUCCCGCUAUAAAGUGAAGGCUUCAUGUUUCACUUGUAACAAGCGGAUACUGUUCUGUGGAUGGAAGGUUCGUGAAGAUUCUCACGCUUUUUUAUUUAUGUAUGUGAAGAAAUCCUUAUAGGGAACCAAACUUAGGAGUUACAAUAUUAAUGUUGCCAUGUUUUCUUGCUGAUUACGGAGAUUAAUACGGUUCCUGUGUGACUAUAUAGCAAUAUUUUUAGAAGAUUUUUUAGCUAAAUAUUACGAACGAAAACUUAGGCACUGAUAAGACUGCAAGUGGUAAAUUUUUUUUUUUUUACAUUCUGUGAGAGUGUUGCUGGCGACUGUAUCAGCUGCUUCAUCACCCAUCAAAAAUCGUUCAAGUGGAUGGGCACGCUGUCGUAUUUGGAGAGGCGAAACAAGCCGGCAGGUGA